rnacentral:rRNA from 1 species
UACGUAGGGGGCAAGCGUUGUCCGGAUUUAUUGGGCGUAAAGAGCGUGUAGGCGGCCAGAUAGGUCCGUUGUGAAAACUCGAGGCUCAACCUCGAAGACGCCGAUGGAAACCAUUUGGCUAGAGUCCGGAAGAGGAGAGUGGAAUUCCUGGUGUAGCGGUGAAAUGCGCAGAUAUCAGGAAGAACACCCGUGGCUAAGGCGGCUCUCUAGUACGGUACUGACGCUGAGACGCGAAAGCCGGUGGGGAGCGAACAGG